GAUGAACGCUGGCGGUAUGCUUAACACAUGCAAGUCGAACGGACUCUUCGGAGUUAGUGGCGGACGGGUGAGUAACGCGUGAGAAUCUGGCUUUGGGUUCGGGACAACCACUGGAAACGGUGGCUAAUACCGGAUGUGCCGAGAGGUAAAAGAGAAAUUGCCUGAAGAUGAGCUCGCGUCUGAUUAGCUAGUUGGUGAGGUAGAGGCUCACCAAGGCAGCGAUCAGUAGCUGGUCUGAGAGGAUGACCAGCCACACUGGGACUGAGACACGGCCCAGACUCCUACGGGAGGCAGCAGUGGGGAAUUUUCCGCAAUGGGCGAAAGCCUGACGGAGCAAUACCGCGUGAGGGAAGAAGGCUCUUGGGUUGUAAACCUCUUUUCUUAGGGAAGAACAAAAUGACGGUACCUAAGGAAUCAGCAUCGGCUAACUCCGUG
rnacentral:rRNA from 1 species